UUUAUUAUUAUUAUCUUGAGACAGAGUCUUGCUCUGUCGCCCAGGCUGGAGUGCAAUGGCACCAUCUCAGCUCACUGCAACCUCCACCUCCCAGGCUCAAGCGAUUCUCAGGUCUUGGCUUCCUGAGUAGCUGGGGUUACAGGCACGCACCACCAUGCCCAGCUAAUUUUUGUGCUUCCAGUAGAGAUGGGGUUUCGCCAUGUUGUCCAGGCUGGUCUCCAACUGCUGACCUCAAGUGAUCUGCCCACCUUGGCCUCCCAAAGUCCCGGGAUUACAGGUGAGAGCCACCACGCCAGACCCUACAGCCUUUUUUCUUGUGCCGCCACUAGAGCAGGGAGCCAGAAACAGUCUCUCUCUUAGGCUCCUUCAGUCAUGAGCCUCCAGUGUUCACAGCUCAAGAUCUAGCGUGGUCCCACCAAAGCCUCUCACCUUGGCCUGGAUGUGAGAGAAAAGCACCCAUUCUCGUUCCCCACAGGAGGGGAUAUAAUGCCAUAAUACUGAAUAUUUUUCCAAAGACAUUUCUGCUCCAAGCUUCUUCAAUUCAACAAUUCUAUGAGAUAUGAGUCCUAGGGCAGAAAGGAGACGUCUGGGGGCAGGGUGGAGGUUGCUGUGUCUGAAUGUAAAGAGGGAAAGCUGUGUCUGAAUGUAAAGAUUUGUCAUAUGACAAAUCUUAUGAAGGUGAGUAAUUACAAAAGGAUUUAGUGUCUGCGAUGGAGACACUAAUGGCACUGAAGGAAAAAAAUCUCAGUAUAGUGCUGAAAUCUGUAAAGGAGUGGAGCCAUCAAUGGUCUCAGGCAACUGCUGAUUAAUCUAUGAGCAGGGCUUGUUUAGUAAAUAAAUGACCUAGACCAACAUUAACUUCAGCAGUUCGAGCUCUGAACACACAAAUACAGAUCAAAAAAUAGAAACUGUUAGACACGACAGUGAAAGAAUAACAGUGCCUAGAAGGUGUCAAAGCAUAAUAUAUUGAGUAGAUGACUGAUUUGCACUAUAAGCAAAUGUCAUAACUCAGUAAGUGGAACCAAAUUGGUUUUCUUGAUUCUUAUGUGUGUGUAUCUAUAUAGACAUACAUAUAUUCUCGAUUGGAAAGAGAAGAUGAUUUUUGGUUCUACAAUUCUCACUGCUGACCUGUGGAGAAAGGAUUUUGGAAGAAUUACUGCCCACUGGGUAAUUUCAGAUGAUGAAGUAGACGUGCUUUUUCCUCACUCUUCCCUGAGAACACCUGAAAAUGCUGGACAUUAUAUAUAAAACAAAUGUAAUAAGAUUCUGAAAGGUUAAUAAAAGAUGACAGAAUUACUAAAGACCUUGAGUCCCCCAAAAUGAUAUAAUAGUAAGUUGCCUGAAUUUUCCUUUUGCCUCAUAUAUCCCAGUCUGAGUGCUGAAGAAGCCAGCAACCAGGAACAUCAUCAGGCACAGACAAAAAAAAAAAAAAAAAAAAGGAAAAAAAGGCCUAAAUAAAACCCUGUUCCCUCUAGCUGAAGAAUCAUGAAAAGGGUAGCCUAGCAAGACAGGAAAGUUAAAGGAUAUAACUGUUCCACUGCGGCUGGCCAAACAUCACAGAAAAAAAACUGUGGCCCAAAUGCCAACCCCACCAGAAAAGACUGAGUGAAGGAGUGAGGGGUCUCAACUUCUCCCCUCAUGAGGCUGUGAUUAGGUUCCCCAAACCCUUGACUAAAGUCGUAUCAAAAAAGUCAAGUGGGAAGCCAGGACUUUCACCCCCACGGGGCAAUAAUAAGCCCCUUACCCUGACGUGAUCCUGGGAGCCAAGUCAUGAGUUUUGACUUCCACAUCUACCUGGAAGUAACGAUGCGACCCUCUCCCUGUGCAGGGGCGGUGUUAAGAGAGGCCUAGUGGAGGGUCAGGCUCAGCAGCGAUGAAGCCGCCCACACUGUGGUGCUGGUGGAGGCCACGUGGGCAGCGGUAAUGGUCCUGCCCACUCUUCCCAGCUGGGAGGCUUCCACGCCAGCAGUGGAGGACUGUGACUUUUCCACUGGCCCAGAAGGAUUGAGGAUCCUCCUCCUUGGGUGUUAAGGGUGGCUGAGUAGAGAAUAUGGAUUUUUACCCCCAUGGCAGUAAAAAGGUCUUCCUUUUUCCCACCACAGUAGUAUCCAAAGCAGCCAGUUAAACUGAUUUAAGUAAGAUACAGAGUCUCAUAACAUAAUACCUAAAAUGUCUUGGUUUCAACUGAAAAUCACUCAUAACAAAGACCAGGGAGAUCUCAAACUUCACUAAAAAUAAUAAAUUCUGACAUGGAGAUGACAGAGAUUUUGGAAUUAUUUGACAAAGAUUUGAAAGCAGCCAUGAUUUUAAAAAAUGUUUUAACAAGCAAUUAACAGCAUGCUUUAGAAAAGCGGGCCGGGCGCGGUGGCUCACGCCUGUAAUCCCAGCACUUUGGGAGGCCGAGGCGGGCGGAUCACGAGGUCAGGAGAUGGAGACCACGGUGAAACCCCGUCUCUAGUAAAAAUACAAAAAAUUAGCCGGGCGUGGUGGCGGGCGCCUGCAGUCCCAGCUGCUUGGAGAGGCUGAGGCAGGAGAAUGGCGUGAACCCGGGAGGCGGAGCUUGCAGUGAGCCGAGAUCGCGCCACUGCACUCCAGCCUGGGUGACAGAGCGAGACUCCCUCUCCAAAAAAAAAAAAGAAAGAAAAGCGACAAAAUACAAAAAUCCCAGCAAAUAAAUAGAAAAUAUAAAGAAUAACCAGGUGCAAAUUUUAAAAGUAAAAAUUCAGUAACUGAAAUAAAAAUUCCAAUGGAUGUCUCAACAGAGGAAUAAAGAAAGCAUAUGAAAAAAAUCAGUGAACAAAAAGAUACAACAGUGGAAAUUACCUAAUUUGAGAGCAACACAGUGAAAAGAGACUGAAGGGAGAAAAGAAAAAAACAAACAAACAAAAAACAAAAACAGAACUUCAGGGACCUGUGGGACUGUCACAAAACAUCUAAAAUCUGUGUUAUUGAAACCCCAGAAAGAAGAAGAGUGAGUUUGAAAAGUGUUCAAAGAACACCUUCUCAUAUUUGCCAAGGCAUAAAUGUACAGACUCAAAAUGGUGAAAGAAUCUCAAAUUAGAGAAACCCCCGAAAAUUAAUACCAAGAUAUAUUACAGUCAAACUUUUGAAAACUUAAGAGGAAACAAAGCAGAAUCUUUAAAUCAGUGAGAUAAAAAUAGCACCUUAUCUACUAGAAAAAAAAGAAAAACCCAAAUGACUGGAGUUUUCCUUAGAAAACAUGACAAGAGAAAGUGGCACAAUAUUUUUAAAGUGCUGAAAGAAACAAAACAAAACAAAACAAUUUAUCAACCAGAAUCCUAUAUCCAGUAACAGUAUUUUUCAGGAAGGAGGGAAAAUCAUGACAUUCUGAGAUAAGGGAAAAUUAAGGUAACUGGUUGCCGGCAGAAUUACUCUAAAAGCA
rnacentral:lncRNA from 1 species